AUGCAGACCUUACUACGCAUGCUGAAUAGUUCAUCAACAACCUCAAAGAGACAUGGAACCGUCACUACGAACACUCAAAGGUCUAGAUCAGACAUUUUCCAAUUGAGUACGUGGCGACUACGAAGCAAGGGAACAAUAUGGAUUGUGGCUUUCACAAGUUGGAAUACCUUGCAAAGUGGGAAGGUAGACUAG
rnacentral:rRNA from 1 species